rnacentral:misc_RNA from 1 species
AAGUCGUAACAAGGUCUCCGUAGGUGAACCUGCGGAGGGAUCAUUACCGAGUGAGGGCGCUCCGGCACCCGACCUCCCACCCCCUGCGAGUGUGGAAAACACCGUGCCUCCCUUGGGGCCGGCCCCGCCCCUGGGCGGGCGCCCCCUGGGGAAGAACUACCAACUCUUGCAUCUUUGCGUCGGAGUGAAUUGAUAAAUUGAAGCAAAACUUUCAACAACGGAUCUCUUGGUUCUG